UCUAAAGCACUCUGGUGGAUUUAAUGUGAGGGGAAUUAACACACAUUUUGAAAAAAAUGAGAUCCAAUGCAUGUCUGGGUACUUGAGACUGCUGGAGUUUGUGCAGGAGGUUUUUGUACGGCCGCUUAAUGAGUCUGUAUCACUGUGGUACACUUUUGGUGGAGGAACUAGACUGGCUUUUGGAACUGAUAUUCGGCCCAGCCUGAUGCUGCUUCCCCCCUCCAGUGUGGAGCUGCAGCAGGGGAAGGCCACACUCAUGUGCCUGGCCACCAAGGGCUUCCCCUGGGACUGGAGGCUGAGCUGGAAGGUGGACGGGAGCAACAGGAGCUCCGCGGGGAGCCAGAGCCCUGCGCUCCUGGAGAAGGACGGCCUCUACAGCUGGAGCAGCACCCUCACCCUCACCCAGGACCAGUGGAGGAAGGGGGCAAAGGUCACCUGUGAAGCCACACAGGGCAACCAGCAACCCGUCACUCAGAAUAUCAAGACGGGAGACUGCUCCGAGUAGUGACAGAGCGCUCACACACACACACACACAUGU